rnacentral:lncRNA from 1 species
AUGCAUACCACAUACACCACACACACAUACCACAUAUACCACACAUCCAUACCACAUAUAGCACACACACCACACACAUACCACAUAUACCGCAUGCAUAUCACAUACACUAUAAACCACAUACACCACACACACAUACCACAUAUACCACACACACCACACACCACAUACCACAUACACUACAUGCAUACCACAUAUGCUACACAUGCAUACCACAUACACUGCACAUACACCACAUAUACCACACACAUGCCACAAGCACCACAGGCAUACCACACACACCACACACAGACCACAUACACCAUACACAUCACAUACACCAUACACACAUAUCACAUAAACCACACAUGUAUACCACAUAUACCACACACAUAUCACACACACCACACACAUACUACACAAUACACACAUACCACAUACACUACAUGCAUACCACACAUACCACACACCAUACCACAUAUACCACAUGCAUAUCACAUAUACUACACACAAACCACAUACAGCACACACACCACAUAUAUCACACACAUACCACACACCACAUACAUGCCACACACCACAUACCACAAACACUACACACAUAUCAUAUACACUGCAUGCAUAUCACUACACUACACGCAUACCACAUAUGCCACACAUGCAUACCACAUACACUGCACACACACACCACAUACACCACACACAUGCCACAAGCACCACACGCAUACUAGACACACCACACACAGACCACAUACACCACACACAUCACAUAUAUCACACACAUCACAUACACCACACACAGCACAUACACCACACACACAUGCCACAUAUACCACAUGCAUAUCACAUACACCACACACACAUUCACAUGCUCCCACAUCCUUUCCAGAAGCAGUCCCAGGCAGAUCUUUCAAUGCAGGCAAUGCAUGUGGUGUGUGGUGUGUGUGUGGUGUGUGGUAUGUGUGCGGUGUGUGUGAUGUGUGUGAUAUGUAUAUGAUGAGGGGUCCAGUCCUGAUAAGGGAGGAAACCUCUGGUAGACAUACAUGGACAGCACACCGCUAUUAA